UGAGUAACACGUGGGCAACCUGCCCUCAGCUCUGGGAUAACCCCAAGAAAUUGGGGCUAAUACUGGAUAUGACUGCUGACCGCAUGGUCUGGUGGUGGAAAGAUUUAUCGGCUGAGGAUGGGCCCGCGGCCUAUCAGCUUGUUGGUGGGGUGAUGGCCUACCAAGGCGACGACGGGUAGCCGGCCUGAGAGGGUGACCGGUCACACUGGGACUGAGACACGGCCCAGACUCCUACGGGAGGCAGCAGUGGGGAAUAUUGCGCAAUGGGCGGAAGCCUGACGCAGCGACGCCGCGUGGGGGAUGACGGCCUUCGGGUUGUAAACCUCUUUCAGCAGGGACGAAGCGAAAGUGACGGUACCUGCAGAAGAAGCACCGGCCAACUACGUGCCAGCAGCCGCGGUAAUACGUAGGGUGCAAGCGUUGUCCGGAAUUAUUGGGCGUAAAGAGCUCGUAGGCGGUCUGUCGCGUCGGCUGUGAAAUCCCGAGGCUCAACCUCGGGUCUGCAGUCGAUACGGGCAAACUAGAGUGUUGCAGGGGAGACUGGAAUUCCUGGUGUAGCGGUGAAAUGCGCAGAUAUCAGGAGGAACACCGGUGGCGAAGGCGGGUCUCUGGGCAACAACUGACGCUGAGGAGCGAAAGCG
rnacentral:rRNA from 1 species